CUCAAAUUUCAGUCUCAGCUACCUAGGAAUCAGCAACAAUCAGAGAAAAGGGAUGUAGGGCAGUUACAGUAAAAACAAACAAAAGAACAGAAAAUCAAAGAGCAGCAAAAAAACAACACUGCCAAAUAAAACCUCCCCUCCCCUGCCCUUCCUUCCUUUUCUUUCCCUUUCUCCUUCUUAGGGGAAAGAAGCAGUGGGGAAAAGAAAAAAGAAAAAAGAAAGAAAGAAAGAAAAAAGAAAGAAAGAAAGAAAGAAAGAAAGAAAGAAAGAAAGAAAGAAAGAAAGAAAGAAAGAAAGAAAGAAAGAAAGAAAGAAAGAAAGAAAGAAAGAAAGGAAGAAAGAAAGAAAGAAAGAAAGAAAGAAAGAAAGAAAGAAAGAAAGAAAGGAAGAAAGAAGGAAAGAAGGAAAGAAAGAAAGAAUUAAAAAAAAGAAAGAAAAUAAAAAAAAAACACUUUCUUUCCAGAAGUCUUUAAACCAUUGCAGCUGCCUUCUGCAGUGGAGUGGGAGAUUGCUGUGCAAGAGAGGACUCCAAAAACCAAGGAUAAAACAGUUCUCAAGAGAACAGCAUCAAGAGGCAUCGUGCUCACAGACUUUCAUCUUGAUGGGAGAUUUCAACCGCAUGGAUGUAAGCUGGGAAAACAACAUGGAAGGUUGAAAAUAUUCCAAGAGACUGCUGAAGAUAACUACCUGGUCCAGGUAUACCGGUCCGAAGAGACAAGCAAACUGGCUUCAACAGACACGGAGAAGGAUGACGUACUGAAGAAGUUCUUUUCCUUGAUCUUCUCUGCUAGUUAGGCUUAUCAUGUCUCUUAUGUCCCUGAAACUCAAGGCACCUGUCCGGAAAGAGAAUAACAACAUAUCCCAGAAGACUGCGUUCAGAGAGGAGAUAUAACCCCUGGCAGGGUCACCUGACUUCUCUUUUUUCCUUCAGCUCUCCUCCCUGCUGCUCGACCUGACUGCACAUCUCGCCUCAGCGUUGUGGUAUGGCCUUCAGUUCUUGGACACUUUCUCUCUCUUUCAUUACAUUUGAUUUAUUACCUUAGAUUCUAAUUGUAUUGUAUUAUAGUGUGUUAUCUUCCAUUCCAAUACUAUAUUUAGUAAAUUAGUUUGUUUCUCCUCAGAUCGUUGCUGCUAUUUUUCAUUAUUCAGGGUCCCCUGUUUCCCCUUUCAGAAGGUGUGGAUCUGUGGAUCCACAUUAGGAAGAAGUGAUGCCUGCAGAGAGACAUGGAUGGACUAGAGAAGUGGGCUGACAUGACCCCAGUGCGAUUUGGCAAGGCUAUGUGCAAGGUGUUACUUGUGUCACAUAUAUUCCUAUUAUGCAUGGGAGAAGAACUCAUUGAGAGCAGACCUGCUGAGAAGAACUUUGGAGUCCUGGUGGACAAAUAAUCCAGGCAUGAGCCGUUAGUGUGCACUUGCAUCUCAGAAGACAAACUGAAUCCUAAGCUGUAUCAAAUCAGGUGUGGUUAACAGUGCCAGGGAGGUGAUUGUCCUCUCUACUCUGCUCUUGUGAGCAUCUGGAGUACUGUAUCCAUGUCUGGGGCCCUAUCAGUGCAAUCACUGUGUGUAUUAUUUAUAAGUCUGACAUUGGUCUAAGCUGUGUAAAUGAGCACUGGUUAAUGCAGAGGAAAUGUAAAAAGUAUUCAAACUUUUAAACAUAGGGAAAUCAUAUUCAUUUAACAGGGAACAGCAAAGCUGGCUGUUUUAUUUUUCCUUUGUGUAUAAGAAACAUACACCAUUUUGCUUGACAUUCAGUAUGAAUAUGCAAAGGCUUUUGAUACAUCUGUUGUUAAUAUGCAAGAUAAUGAAUGUGCUUAAAAUUCUGCUCUUCUUGUCUGCUGAUUAAAUGAAAUAAGCAGAACAGUCCACCAUAUCUAUAUGCUUUAGAGGACCAAUGUUUGCAACAAAGUAGUAACUGUUCACAUUACGUUCUGUUUUAUUACUAUUUUCUGAUGGAAAACUGUUUUUUCAUGAAGCUCCAAAUUUUUCAAUGAAAAUAUCCACCACAAAAAGAAAAACAAAAACACUUAAUCUGUUAACCCUUCUUACUGCAUUUCAAAUGAAUAAUAUUACUGAAGACUGAAGGAGAUGUCUAAUAUUUUACAUUGCUUUCUGGAAAUAGUGGUGGUUCCUGUUUCCACAUGUUCUCCAGUUAUUGUGGAGAGGGAAUUCAUGCUUGGGUAAACACCAUGGCCAAGACACUACUGUUCCUCUCCUCACUUCUCUAAAAGGGUAAAAUAAUUAAACUUAUUAUUUCAUAAGGCAGUUUGGCAUAUAAUUUUGAUAUAAUCAUAUGGAACUCAAAUGACAUAAAGUUACACACAGUACAAAAAAUAUUGAGAUAGAAGCAUUUUCAAAAAUCUGACCAAUUCCAUUGUUUGUCUAAAAUUAAAUCUUAAAUAUUUAUGAAGAUGAAUCUAUACUACAAUGAGUUACUGCAUUUUUUUUUUCAUUAAAAUAUUGAGGGAUUCUAAUCCAUUAAUCCCGAUGUUAAUUAAAAAAAAUCGUUGUCAAAAUGAUAGACUGUUAUUAUUAUUAUCUUUUUUUUAUAUUCUUUUUCUUUUCAAUUAUAUCUACUCCUUAGAGAAGACACAACCCAGGUGAAUUAAUUUUUUCUCUCAAGAAAAUAGCGAGGACUGAGUUUGCCAAAGAGCUUCUAUAAAAGUGGAAAAAGACAAGCUCUCAUCUAAUAAUGUUCCUAUUAAUACACUUUUCUGUGUGUACUUUUGCUUUGAACAUAUAACAGUAAUGAAAAAAUACAGUGGUAGACACUUGAUAUUUGUCUAUUCAUAUUUAUUUAUUAAUAUAUUAAUAUAUUAAACAAUAUUUAUAUUGUUUAAAAGGCAGCUAAUUUUGGAAUAAAUAAAUAAAUAAAUAAUCCCACAACACUCCAGAGUUCAGUAAAGAUGAAAGAUACCCCAUGAGAUUUAAGACACAAUUUGGUUGUGCAUUUUCAACCCAUAUGAGUAAGUAGGAAGGGAUGGCAAUGACAAACUUGCCACUAACACCACAUAAUGGUGCAAUGGGUCACUCUAGUCUGGUGAUGUAUGCUGUUGUACGAAAAAAAGAUUUUUCUAUAUCCACAUGAGUUAUUUAAAUUGCUCUUCCAUGUCAGAACACUGAGCCUACCACAGCGGUGGCCAGCAUAAUAUGGGAUAGGAUAUGAGGUCCCCAAGUUGUGGUGCUCCAGAGCCAUGGGGUGGAUUUUCUGCUAAUAUUAAGAAAGUGACACCCUAGCUACUUGAUCUGCUGUCUAAAUCAGUUUUCCAUCUACAAUAUUAACAGUACCAUACAUUGUAUGGUUAGAUUAAAUAAAGACUGAAAGCUCUUAAAUACAGCGUAUCAGAAUGCAUUAAAAUAGUUAUGCAUCAAAAUUAAAACAAGACAGUUUUAAAAUAUCUAUUGUGGACCGAAGAUCAGCUACAAAAGAAUGUGGUUCUGGAAGAAUUUUCUUUAUUUCUGGCAGCCCUAUGAAACUAGCAGUAGGACUGCUGGCACUGUCUUCUAGGUCUUGGGGGAUGCUUUUAAUCCAACAAGGCACUGCUAUUAUUAGGAAGGCUGCAGUGUAACUACACCAUCAUUGCAUUCUGUCAGUUUAGUUUUGCAUGAACCAUUUGGUUCAUGACGCUCUAAAUUUAAUACUGUGCUACAGAUAAACUAGAAACAGAAUAAAUAUUGUAAGAACAAAGCUGUCACAGAAACACACUCUGAGUGUUUCGACCCCAUUCAAAGGCCCUUCACUAUAAUUGUCUCUGACAGAAGGCCCCUGUACAGUGAGUACUUUAGUUGCCAAUGACCUUAAACACGAUUAUCAUUAGCCUUCUUGUAAUACUCUCUCUUCCUUGAACUCAAAUUACUGUGCUUCUCAGAUGGAUUUAUAAAGGCAGUUCAAUACUGUAGUUAGAAUAAUCCGAGCUGUUUGAAUCAAUGCUGUGUCCUUUGUAAAUAAAGCUGUUCUGAAAUGCAUGCUGUAAUAAUUAUAUCCAUAAUUUGUUACAGUUAUUGUAAUAAAUUUGACUAUAAUAAUUUGAAUUAUUGUUGCAAAGAAGCCACAAGGAUUACUUGAUUACUUAAUCAAGUAAUAAUUUAUGCUGAUAAAAAUAUCAGGGCCAUUCCUAAAGUUAGGGUUUGUUUAAGCCAAACAUUUAAAUAAUUAAACAGUUGUUCAGAGACAAUAAAGCUACUUUGACUUGAAAACAAAACUCACUUACCAUUUGUAAACGUGUAUAAACUUAAAAAAAAAAAAAAAAGAGCAAAAGAAAAAUAUGUUUGUUUUUUUUUCCUUCACUCAUUGUUCCCAAACCUGACAGCCUGCCAAAGGCAGAGAAAAAAGCCCUUGAC
ensembl:lncRNA